GACGAACGCUGGCGGCGUGCCUAAUACAUGCAAGUAGAACGCACAGUUUAUACCGUAGCUUGCUACACCAUAGACUGUGAGUUGCGAACGGGUGAGUAACGCGUAGGUAACCUGCCUGGUAGCGAGGGAUAACUAUUGGAAACGAUAGCUAAUACCGCAUAAUAUUGAUUAUUGCAUGAUAAUUGAUUGAAAGAUGCUAUUGCAUCACUACCAGAUGGACCUGCGUUGUAUUAGCUAGUAGGUGAGGUAACGGCUCACCUAGGCGACGAUACAUAGCCGACCUGAGAGGGUGAUCGGCCACACUGGGACUGAGACACGGCCCAGACUCCUACGGGAGGCAGCAGUAGGGAAUCUUCGGCAAUGGACGAAAGUCUGACCGAGCAACGCCGCGUGAGUGAAGAAGGUUUUCGGAUCGUAAAGCUCUGUUGUAAGAGAAGAACGGGUGUGAGAGUGGAAAGUUCACACUGUGACGGUAGCUUACCAGAAAGGGACGGCUAACUACGUG
rnacentral:rRNA from 1 species